GGGGGGGUUAAACACACCUGGGAACUCACCUGGGCACAGCUGGAUGGGGUUAAACACACCUGGGCACACCUGGGGGCACCUGGGCACACCUGGGGGGGAUUAGACACACCUGAGAACUCACCUGGGCACACCUGGGGGCACCUGGGGGCACCUGGGCACACCUGGGGUAUAUUUUGGGCAUACCUGGACACACCUGGGCACACCUGCGGGGGGUUAAACACACGAGAGAACUCACCUGGGCACACCUGGGCACACCUGGGGGUACCUGGGCACACCUGGGCACAGUUAAAACACACCUGGGCACACCUGGGGGUACCUGGGCACACCUGGGCACAGUUAAAACACACCUGGGCACACCUGAGGGGUACCUGGACACACCUGAGCACUCACCUGGGCACAGCUGGGGGGCAGCUGGGGGUACCUGGGCACACCUGGGGGGGGUUCAACACACCUGAGAACUCACCUGGGCACACCUGGGCACAGUUAAAACACACCUGGGCACACCUGGGGGGGGUUUGGACACACCUGAAAACUCACCUGGGCACACCUGGGGGUACCUGGGGUGUACUUGGGAGCUCACCUGGGCACACCUGGGGCACACCUGGGGGUACCUGGGCACACCUGAGAACUCACCUGGGCACAGCUGGGGGGCAGCUGGGGGUACCUGGGCACAGCUGGGGAGGGUUCAACACACCUGACAACUCACCUGGGGGCACCUGGGCACACCUGGGCAGGGUUAGACACACCUGGGGGCACCUGGGGGUACCUGGGCACACCUCGGGGGGCUUAAACACACCUGACGGGGGGUUAAACACACCUGAAAACUCACCUGGGGACACCUGGGAGUACCUGGGGGGGUUAAACACACCUGGGCACACCUCGGGGUACCUCUGGGGGCACCUGGGGAUACCUGGGGGCCACCUGGGCACACCUGGGGGGAGGUUAGGACACACCUGGGCACACCUGGGAGCUCACCUGGGCACACCUGGGCACAGCUGGGGGCACCUGGGGGCACCUGGGGGGGUUCAACACACCUGA
rnacentral:lncRNA from 1 species